rnacentral:rRNA from 1 species
UACGAGGGGGGCAAAUGUUGUCCGGAAUCAUUGGGCGUAAAGAGCGCGUAGGCGGCCCUGUAAGUCCGCUGUGAAAGUCAAGGGCUCAACCCUUGGAUGCCGGUGGAUACUGCAGGGCUAGAGUCCGGAAGAGGCGAGUGGAAUUCCUGGUGUAGCGGUGAAAUGCGCAGAUAUCAGGAGGAACACCGAUGGCGAAGGCAGCUCGCUGGGACGGUACUGACGCUGAGGCGCGAAAGCGUGGGGAGCAAACAGG